AGUGGUCGCUCGUUACGGAAGUCCUCCCCUGCAUUCAAUUGAAUAUCACCGCUGAGAGAGAACUGAACUCAUUCCUUUUGUAUGCAAGCAAAGAACCUCACAACUACACCACAGAUGCGUGUGAAAUGAAACACCCAACAAAAAGGCUGAAAAUAGUCGAAGGACAACAGGGAAGAGCGGUCGCCAAGCGGAGGAAAAAAUAUCUGGAGUUUUGGGAUGCAUCAAUUGAGAACCGAAAAAUGUGGAUCUAGAACAUUUCCAGAACUGUGAGCUUGGGACUGAAUUUUGUCAGCACCAGUCUACGUAAAGCCAGCAAGUUCCGCUCCACGCUCGUCCCAAUGCCCACGAAAGACCAAACGCUAGGGGACAAGAGCAGCUUAAAGCCUGCAAACAGAAGAGAGAUCCAGGUUGUGAAGUCAACUGCCCUUGUUGCCGUGGUAUUUGUUAUCACCAACACCCCUACAGUCAUGAUAUCUUUUGCCCGGAGAUUCGUCCCAAGUUUCAACCUGUUCAAACGGUACCACAGAAUAUAUAUCAGUUCGAACGUAAUACGGAACCUGUUUGAAUUCUGUGGUGCAUCAUUCAACAUUUUCAUCUAUCUAAAUUUUAACAAAAAAUUUAAGGAUACUUUCACAGCCACAUUUAGAAAGUCUUAUUUAAAGUAAUUUGGUGUGGUGAAUCGCAGUAUUUUUACCCUUUAAUAAAGACUUAGGAAACCAAUAGAGUUAUUGAAAACUUUUCGUAUGAAGGAUUGUGUUUUUGUGAUCGAAAUACCCC